CGAUGGAUUCUGUGAUAGCCCUGAAUAUUCUUAAUCAUAAAAAAGAUUUCGGUAUUGAGGUUGAUGGAAUUUUUUCGCAACUGCUCAUGGCAAGGGGGCAUGCGACGGGAUUGGGUGGACUGUUAAGAGACGCGCAAAAGAAGUAAGCAUGCAGCGUGUAGAUGGCGAUCACAUUACGUCUCCGCUACAGCUUUUUGAGUGGGCCAAACUUUCUUUCAAAAAAUCAGUUUCGAUUUCUGUACAGAAAAAGAACACGACUUGCAUGCGCGAAAACUUCGUUCUCGUUUCGAAAAAGCGACGACUCUCAAAAACACGCGCCAGUACCACUUUUAUCAACCUUUAGAUGAUAAAACAAUUGUCGGCAAAAUUUUUUCGGCAGAUGAUGUAAGCACACUCCAUGAAGUUCUCUAAGAUGUGACUAAAUUUGUGGACCGAUAUUUUAAGUCUGAAGAUAAACACGAAUACACAAUUAAUUUCAUUUCAUGAGUUGUAUUAUUAAUUUUUAGAUAAAAUGUGAUUAUUUGUUAACAGCACUCUUACAUGACGUGUAUUAGCACAUGUAAAUGCUACUUCUUUGUAUCUACUCGUAUGUACCAUAUAUUAGAACGCACCAGAAAAGUAGCAUUUACAUAUGCAAAUACAUAUCGUGUAAGAGCGCUACAAGGAAAGUAUAUGUAAGAAUAAGAUUUUAUAACCUUU